AACGAACGCUGGCGGCAGGCCUAACACAUGCAAGUCGAGCGAGCCCUUCGGGGUUAGCGGCGGACGGGUUAGUAACGCGUGGGAACGUGCCCUUUGCUACGGAAUAGUCCUGGGAAACUGGGGGUAAUACCGUAUGUGCCCUUCGGGGGAAAGAUUUAUCGGCAAAGGAUCGGCCCGCGUUGGAUUAGGUAGUUGGUGGGGUAAUGGCCUACCAAGCCGACGAUCCAUAGCUGGUUUGAGAGGAUGAUCAGCAACACUGGGACUGAGACACGGCCCAGACUCCUACGGGAGGCAGCAGUGGGGAAUCUUAGACAAUGGGGGAAACCCUGAUCUAGCCAUGCCGCGUGGACGAUGAAGGCCUUAGGGUUGUAAAGUCCUUUCAGCUGGGAAGAUAAUGACGGUACCAGCAGAAGAAGCCCCGGCUAACUCCGUG
rnacentral:rRNA from 1 species